rnacentral:lncRNA from 1 species
ACUUGAACUUUAUCUUGGUUGAGGCUCAACUCUAAUGAAGACAGGCAUGGAUGAUUCUGGUUUGAAAAGGUCACAGUUGUACCAAAGUCUAUAUAAAUAACUUUGUCCUAUUAUGUCUCUACCACACAGCUUCUCUUGAGUUUUUCUGGGGGAAUAUACCAGGAGACCAUAAUCAAGCAUCACCAGUGGCAUUUCAUACUGGUCCCAUGGUGUUAAUCCAGGUUUCUGGUAUUGCACUAAACACGAUGAAAAACAGGAGAGAACGGAGAGGGAUCAUGUUUUACCACAAUAUGCAAUUUAUGGGAGAGAUGAAGCGCUCAGGUGGAGAUGACUAGUGUCACGUGGUGUUUUAAGUGGAUACUCACAACGCUGGAACUCACAGCAAUAACAACAAGAGAUCCUCUAUAGACUGUUGAUGUAUAGCCAUGAGAAAAAAAAAAGAAAAAUUUUUGCUCUCAAUGAGCUUGCAUUUAAGCAUCUAUAAAAGCACCUUUAAGAAACAAAACAAAACAGAAUGACAUAAAAAGUUGGUGACAUAGGAAGAUUAAUAUAGAGUAAAAAUAAAUUGGAAGUAUGGCAGUGGGGCAGGCUAGUGCAAUAACUGAUGAAGUCAAGAUAAAAAAUAUAACUUCUUUAGCCAUAAGCUUUCAUACAAAGAUCCUUUAUUGGGGAAAAUUUAUCCCUCAUAAUGUGUUCCCUUUAAAUACUGAUCUGUUUUUCUCCUUUAAGACCCAGAGUGCAGGAGGGAUAACUGAUAUCAAAAUUCCAAGGAAAGGAUGAAAAAAGUAGGAAGAAAACCCCAAGAGUCAGGUGAGAUUAAUAUUUACUCAGUGAACUUUGAGUAAAGCAUUGGGUGCUUCAUUAUGUGGAGGAGUCUCAUCCAAUCAGUUGAAGGUGACUGAAUGGAACUAUAGAUCGACCUCACAUAAAUGAGAGGGAAUUCUGCAACAGAUCAUCUUUGCCUUUGAACUGCAGCAUGGACUCCCCUCUGGGUCUCCUGCCUGCCAGCCCACCCUGCAGAGUGCAUUUGCCAGCCUCCACAAUCAGGUAAUUUAUCCUGUGCAUUAACAAGAGGAAGUCUAGAGCCAUGGAAACCAAGUCAGGAAACUUCUCUCUUAUUAUUAGGUCCACUGCAAAUCUAGUUGAGACUGCAAAUCGAGCUAAUGAUAUCUUAAGUUAGAACAUCAUGCCAAGAGAAGUAUGUUUUCAACCAAGAAAGCAAAAUCAACAUGAUCCUAAAUGAACUGCUUCUGCAUGUCAACAGUCUUGAUAUACCUGAGAGAGUGAGAUACAGAGUAUGUUGUUAAACUUUUUAUAAUUACAAAUAUUGCUUGUAUUUCUUUUGAAAUUUGCCACACGCUGAUAUUAAAAAUAAUAGAUAGAAAAUCAAGAGAGAAACUUGUAGCUUUAAUUUAUUUUGUUGUUUGGAUAAUUAAGAUUGUAGGAUAGACAGACUAAUAAUUCUCUACUUUUAAAGGAAAAGUAUUUCUCUUUGAGUCUCCUUCACUUUGUA